AUUGAACGCUGGCGGCAUGCUUUACACAUGCAAGUCGAACGGUAACAGGGUGCUUGCACCGCUGACGAGUGGCGAACGGGUGAGUAAUGCGUCGGAACGUGCCGAGUAGUGGGGGAUAACGCAGCGAAAGUUGUGCUAAUACCGCAUACGUACUGAGGUAGAAAGUGGGGGACCUUCGGGCCUCGCGCUAUUCGAGCGGCCGACGUCUGAUUAGCUAGUAGGUGAGGCAAAGGCUCACCUAGGCGACGAUCAGUAGCGGGUCUGAGAGGAUGAUCCGCCACACUGGGACUGAGACACGGCCCAGACUCCUACGGGAGGCAGCAGUGGGGAAUUUUGGACAAUGGGCGAAAGCCUGAUCCAGCCAUGCCGCGUGUCUGAAGAAGGCCUUCGGGUUGUAAAGGACUUUUGUCGGGGAGGAAAUCCCCAGCGUUAAUACCGCUGGGGGAUGACAGUACCUGAAGAAUAAGCACCGGCUAACUAUGUGCCAGCCGCCGCCGUAAAAC
rnacentral:rRNA from 1 species